rnacentral:lncRNA from 1 species
GUAGGUAUGGACUUACACUGGAUCUCGGUACAGAGCAAGGGCUCCUUCGAGAGCUGAGUAUUUCCUGAGCUCAGGAAGGCACUCGCCUCUGUUGGGUCUUUCCAUAAACAAAAGUUCUUGCACAUCAAAGCUUGGGUUGAAAACAGUGUAAAACCUUACAAGACUGAGUCUUAGCACAUCAUCUGCCCACAUCAUUGGAACAGAAAGUGCCAGGGGGUUCACAGGCCAAUCAGGAGCUAGGAGGGAAAUUGAUGCUUCAAGAAUUCACCAGCCAUGGGUAAGACAUUUGAUUCUUGCUGUAUCGAUAUACAGAUAAACUUGAAAUGAGCCAUGUCGGUUUUCUGCCUCAGAUUCAAUAGCCUGCAGCUGAUGGGAGAGGACUUAUUCUGCAUCACUGGGAGGAAAGACGUUGAGCCGUGUGUCCUUAGCAGAAACAGAUGGUGGCUGCUACACCCUUGGCAACCCUGUGGGAGAUCCUGGAGGCAGAAGGUGGCAUUAUCAGUGGUCACAUAGGACAAAUUUAUUCUCCACCUGUCUGUGUGGGAGGAAAGGCAGAACCUUCCAUUCAAGUCCCUGGGAGCUCUUCAGGAAAUAGAUAUUUUGCCUUGAUGAAUGCUGUAUUCAGAGACUGACAGUUUUAUAGUUGCUACUGGGUAACUCUGACCCCAGUCAGAUUUGGUUGGAAGGAAGUCUACAGUAUGCAUGUGCAUGAGUGUGUGUGUGUGUGUGUGUGUGUGUGUGUGUGUGAGUGAGUGUGUACAUGAGUUUAUGUGCAUGAUUGAAAAUGUGUGUGUAUACAUGAGUUUUUGUGCAUGAGUGUAUACAUGAAUGUUUGUGUAAGUAUGUGUAUGCAUUUGUAUGUGCAUGAGUAUGUGUGUGUGUCCAUGACUGUGUGAAUGUGUAUGUGUGCAUGAGUAUAUAUGAGAGAUUGUGUAUGUGAGAGAUAGUGUAUUAUGUGUGCAUGAGCAUAUGUGUGUGUGUGUGUGUGCAUUUGUGUGUUCAUGAGUGUGUAUGAGUAUGUGUACAUGAGUGUAUUGCAUGAGUUUGUGUGAAUGAGUGUGUAUCCAUGAGUGUAUGUGAGUGUGUAAGUGUGUGCAUGAGUGUGUGUGAGAUUGUGUAUGUGAGAGUUUGUGUACUCUGUGUGCAUGAGUGUGUGCAUGAGUGUAUGUGUGUGCAUUUGUGUUUCCGUGAGUAUACAUGAGUGUGAGAGUGUAUGUGUAAAAGAGUAUGUGUGUAUGCAUUUGGGUAUCCAUUUUGUUCAUAUAUGGAUGGGAGUAUGUGUGUAUGUCUUUGUGUGUGUUUUGUGUUUGUGUACAUGAAUGUGUAUGAGAUGUGUGUGAAUUUUUGUGUGCAUGUGUGUUUGUGUGUUGCAUGACCUUUGGUUUGAAAACAACAGAUAAACAAGAUGAGGGAACACUCACUGAAACAUCUAGAUAAGGAAGGAGAUGGAAAGAAGUUUUCUCAAAAGCCCAGCCUUGUGCAAGUCCCAGGCCAGCAAUUUCUGCAUGGCUUGGUCUAUAAACUGUGGACAUUGUUUCCUCCCCAAAUCAGGCGCUGAGUGGGCAGACUUGAGGUGAGACUCUAGCUGCAAUGAAAACCAUAUUUCCACGUGUCACCCAAGCCGUGCCUGCUGCCUACCACGUCACCCUUUCAGCCUCUCAGUACACCCUCUUUGUCCUUCUACAGGGACAGACCCUGAUCCAGCACCAGUCCAGCUGUCAAACAGCUGUGGGCACUCCACAGGGAGAUGCCAAACCACACACAGCAGCCCAGGUUAGAACCUCAAAAAAUGCAUUUGGCCCCAAACUCACACAGAUGGCCAGACAAGUUUAUGUCUGCACUUGUAGCUGAAACAGAAGCCAAGUAAGCUAGCAGGGUAAACGUGAGCCAGAAGAGCACGUGAAAGCAUUCUGGCGUCAGCUUUAUCUACUCGACCAUCAUAGAAACAUUAUGUGAAGUUCAGUGUCGCUGUGCACAGACAGACAAGUGCCUUAGGGGAAAAGCCAUAAAGUACACAUACAAGAAUCAACUCACUAUAAAAAGAUGGAAGUUGGUGGGGAUGGUAAACAUUUUGGAUAAAGAGCCAUGGGAAAGCGUGGAUGGCAGCCUUUCAGUCAACACGUGAAGGAAAGAGAGGUGUGUGUCAGGAUCAGACCCUGUUCCUAGAGAGGUGACUAACAAAGGUAUACACUUUGUCACUGGCCGAGCCCCAUCCCAGCUUCCUCCGAUGCCUCCCUGAUGUUAUCUUGUCUUUAGCAUUCAUCAGAAAAAUCGGAACAUCUGCCUCCAAUCCUAGCUACACUUGGUUCCUGUGCUAUACUCUGAGGCUCAGGGUCCCAAAGUGGACCCUGGUCUGUAGACAUGAACAAGAGUCGUCAAGGUCUAGGCUGGGAAGAUGGCUCAGUUAGUAAUGUCCUUGUCGUACAAGCCCUAGGGACUCCAGUCUGAUUCCCCAGGGCCCACGUGUAUUGGUUAUUUAACAUGGUGCCUGAUCAGAUUCUUGAUCAAUGCAUCCCAAGGAUGGCAGCUCAUAGUCCAAGGGUACUGUCCAUCAUGGUGAGGAAAUCCUGGUGGCAAGAUCACAAGGCAGCUGGUUAGACUGCGUGUGUGGUCAGGAAGCAUAGACCAACGAUGCUUGCAAAUGCCCAGCUCCCGUUCUCUAGGAUCUGAGCCAGGGAAUGGCACUGCCCACAGUGGGCAGGUUUUCCCACUUCAAUUAAUGUAAUCAAGAUAACCCUCACAGGCAUGCUCAUCUUCCAGGUGAUUUGAGAUUCUGUCACGUUGACCAUAAACAGUAACCAUUACAUGGUGGUGCCCUUAUUAACCAAUCGCUUGCUGGCCAGCCAGUCUAGUCAUUUGACAAGCUCUGGGCCAGUGAGAGACCUGCCUUAAAAAGAAAACAAAGUAGUUGCCUCCUAAGGGAUGACACUCAGGAUGUCCUCUGCCCUACCUCCUCCCAAUACACACACACACACACACACACACACACACACACACACAGAGAGAGAGAGAGAGAGAGAGAGAGAGAGAGAGAGAGAGAGAGAGAGAGGGAGGCCCUCCUGGAAGGUGGGGAUCCUACAAAACAGCAGCAUCAGUCUGGACAGGGCCACAGAUGGGUGUGACAAGGACAAGACAAAUGUCACCUCACAUCAUAUUUAGGGAUUCCAAAAUAGUCCCACAAUAACUCAAACCCAGGAUGUGAUAUGAGCCUCAGACCUCUAAGAAAGAUGCUCUUUCCCUGACAGCCCUCCGGGUUGUCUGUGGACAGACACACCCUGCCCAAGGGAGGUGGCAGGAUCCUUUCUGAGUAACCUUGUCUGUUUCAGAAAGGAGUUUCAGAAAAGAGACCUCCUGUCUCAUUGACUUCACCUUGGCUGGUGUGUUUGGGAAAUCUGUCUUACAUAUUUGAGUACCUGCCUGGAAAGACCAUUUGCUGCCAUUCCUUCUGGAUUGGAAUGACUGAGGUGACAAGCAUAAACUGUCCAAGGACAAGGACAAUUAAAGGCUAGUGUUUGGUGAAACGAGCUACUAAAAAGUACGCAGUUUUUAAUGCUUAGUUUAAAACAGAGAUGCCAGAGCUGGAGAGAUGGUCCAGUCAGUGAAAUCCUGAGUUUGGAUCCCCAGCAACUGCACAAAAGCUGGGUACUGCAGCUUGCUCUGUGAUGCCACUAUGAAGGAGGCAAGGACAAAAGAACCCUGGGGCUCACAGGCCAGCCAGCCUAGCCAAUCACUGAGAGCCCUGUCUGAAAAUAAGCUAGGGAGCUAUUAAGGAAGACGUUUGAUGUCAACCCCUGGCCAGGAAUCGAACUCAAGUUGUCAGCCUUGGCAGCAGACACUUUUACCCAUACAGCCAG